rnacentral:rRNA from 1 species
CUGAUGCAGCAACGCCGCGUGCGGGAUGACGGCCUUCGGGUUGUAAACCGCUUUCAGCAGGGACGAAGCGAAAGUGACGGUACCUGCAGAAGAAGCACCGGCUAACUACGUGCCAGCAGCCGCGGUGAUACGUAGGGUGCGAGCGUUGUCCGGAUUUAUUGGGCGUAAAGAGCUCGUAGGUGGUUUGUUGCGUCGGAAGUGAAAACACAGGGCUUAACUUUGUGCUUGCUUUCGAUACGGGCAGACUUGAGGAAGGUAGGGGAGAACGGAAUUCCUGGUGGAGCGGUGGAAUGCGCAGAUAUCAGGAGGAACACCAGUGGCGAAGGCGGUUCUCUGGACCUUUCCUGACGCUGAGGAGCGAAAGCGUGGGGAGCAAACAGGCUUAGAUACCCUGGUAGUCCACGCCGUAAACGGUGGGCACUAGGUGUGGGGGACAUUCCACGUUCUCCGUGCCGUAGCUAACGCAUUAAGUGCCCCGCCUGGGGAGUACGGCCGCAAGGCUAAAACUCAAAGGAAUUGACGGGGGCCCGCACAAGCGGCGGAGCAUGCGGAUUAAUUCGAUGCAACGCGAAGAACCUUACCUGGGUUUGACAUCUGCCGGAAGCAUCCAGAGAUGGGUGUGCCUUUUUGGUCGGUUGACAGGUGGUGCAUGGCUGUCGUCAGCUCGUGUCGUGAGAUGUUGGGUUAAGUCCCGCAACGAGCGCAACCCUCGUCCUAUGUUGCCAGCGGGUUAUGCCGGGAACUCAUGGGAGACUGCCGGGGUCAACUCGGAGGAAGGUGGGGAUGACGUCAAGUCAUCAUGCCCCUUAUGUCCAGGGCUUCACGCAUGCUACAAUGGCCGGUACAAAGAGCUGCGAGCCUGUGAGGGUGAGCGAAUCUCAAAAAGCCGGUCUCAGUUCGGAUUGGGGUCUGCAACUCGACCCCAUGAAGUCGGAGUCGCUAGUAAUCGCAGAUCAGCAUUGCUGCGGUGAAUACGUUCCCGGGCCUUGUACACACCGCCCGUCAAGUCAUGAAAGUCGGUAACACCCGAAGCCGGUGGCC